rnacentral:misc_RNA from 1 species
GAUGAAGAACGGAGCGAAAUGCGAUACGUAAUGUGAAUUGCAGAAUUCAGUGAAUCAUCGAGUCUUUGAACGCACAUUGCGCCCCCUGGUAUUCCGGGGGGCAUGCCUGUCCGAGCGUCAUUGCUGCCCUCAAGCACGGCUUGUGUGUUGGGCCCCGCCCCCCGGCUCCCGGGGGGCGGGCCCGAAAGGCAGCGGCGGCACCGCGUCCGGUCCUCGAGCGUAUGGGGCUUCGUCACCCGCUCCGUAGGCCCGGCCGGCGCCCGCCGGCGACCCCCCUCAAUCUUUUCAGGUUGACCUCGGAUCAGGUAGGGAUACCCGCUGAACUUAAGCAUAUCAAUAAGCGGAGGA